GUCGGAGGGGGGGGGGGGCCGGGCCGCCGGCCGAGCGCAGCCACACGCCGGAGCACGGAACCGCACGGAGGUCGGACGGAGGGAGGCCGACCCCGGGAAGACCGCAGGGCUCAAAGACUGUCUCCACACAGCUGAAAAUACUUCCAGGCUUACAUAGGAGAACGAGGGACAGGGAUGGGGUGUGCGUGCGGGUGGCAGUGCAGGUCAGGUGCAUCGUGGCCUGGGGGCAGUCAUGGGCGGGUCUUGCUGGCUCAGGGCAGGCCUUACUGCUUGAAGGGGUGGUUCGGUUCCGGCAGGGUCAGCUUUGCCCCCAGGGUCUUUUGCCGCAGUGAAGAGAUCAGCUGGAGAGGAGUUAGGAAGCUUGAGGUCAGCUUGGGGGUGGUUGGAGUCCACUUCCAGCGUAGGUCGUGGGUGGUGGAAGGAGGUCAUGUUUAACCCUGUAGGUCCAGCUCUGCUGCCUGGUCACCAAGGCAGCCUUCCUCACAGCAAAGAAAAAGAUCGGGAGCCGGGGAGGGUGGGGGGAGGGUCGGGUCUGUGUGCCUUUUCUGAUUAGUAUUUAUGCAUUUCUUUCCAGAGCUGGAGGAACUUUGAGUGCCCCGUAAGCAUUAUGGUAAUUUCGUAGUGACGACAGUUAUAUUAGCAUCUUACACAGCUCACAGCUUUUCUGCAGACAGGCUCAUUUAUCUUCAUGGGCUUUUAUUAUAAAAGUGUCACACUGCUGCAGAGACGGUGCGAUGUGGAUGGAAGCAGGGGCCUGUUGUGCUGGCUUCUGCAGAGAGGCAACUCCAAAGGCCUUCCUCCUGCCGGGCUGUCCCCCAGCUGCCAGGUCAGUGACCGCUUCAUGAAAGCAGCGAGAGCCACUGGUGUCAAGUGAGGGGGACCGGCUUCUCUGCCAGAACCUGACAGUGCCUGGGCAGCAUGUGGAGAUCUGUCCUCAGAAGACUUGGAAAUAGAGGUGCUAGUUUUUUCUCUGCAAGUGGGAUUUUGAAUUCAAUGCCAAGAGAUGGAGCAGGGACUGGCAAACUCCUACAAAGACACAGCCGGCCUCCCAGGGCCUCACUUGAGAUUGAGGGAGAGCUGGUGAAUGUUGAGCAUCUCUAAAAGGAGUGUCAGCAGAGGGGGAUUGGUGGCUGUGGAAACCCACAGAGUCGUGUCCAUCCAGAGGGCAAGGGCAGGCUCAGCUCAGCCCAGCACAGGCUGGAGAGGUGCUUUGCCCCCCUGGCCACGGACACUCACAUUUCCUCGUCAAACCAUCCUCAUGGAGCCUGAUGUGGACCAAGAGGCAAUUCACAAGCGCAGUUCCUCUCUUUGCUGUGAUUUUAGAGAGAGUGUGGCCUCACAGCCACCUGGCCUAGGGUGGAGAAUGAGCUGACCUGCCGGCACCACCGAUCUGGUCAAAUUCUUUUCUUACUUUUCUUUUUUCGUGAGAGACACACAGAGAGAGGCAGAGACACAAGCAGAGGGAGAAGGAGGCUCCCUGUGGGGACUCGAUCCUGGGACCCAGGAACAUAACCUGAGCCAAAGGCAGACACUCAACCACUGAGCCACCCAGGUGUCCCCCAUCCGGUCAAUUUCUAAGUAAGAAAGACACACUCACUAAACAUUUAUUCCAGCCUCCCUAUGUAUCAGGCACCAUGCUAAUGACUGACGAUGUGACUGUGAACAGAACAUUCAUGGCCUUGUGGUGUGGACACACUGAACAAUAAUCACACACACAGUGGCAGGUGAUCCCAGCAGGGGAUUGUGGGAAAGCACAGAUGCUCUUGGGGUUGUGUGAAACAAAGGGGAGUCAGAAUUUUUCCAAGGGCUUCAAGAAACUUCCUGGAGAGGGAACUUUGGGAGGGGCACCCUGAAAGAUGAAAGGGGAGUGCAGGUGAAGGAGGCAUGGGGUGGGGGGCGAGUGCCUCACACAGACAGAGGAACAGGUCGGAAGGCCCCGAAUCCAGAGGCCCAGCAGGGCCGUGUGUGAAUGCAGAGAGAUGAAUCUAGAAGGGUGUGGGCUGAGGAGGUCAGUUUUCCAUCAAGUGCGAUGAGGAGCCCCCAGAACCCUGAGCUAGGGGGUGGCAAGGCGCAGGGAGUGCUUGGGGAUACACUGCAAUGCUGCUGUAAGAAAGCUGCUGCAAGAUUGGGUUUGUUGCAGGCGCAGGUGGGUGCGGAUUGUGAAGGUUAACACGUGCCGAGCCCUCGGGGUUGCGGCAGUAUUCUGAGCACUGUGUAUACGUGAACUCAUGCUGCCAACAGAUCAGUCGGGCAGGUACUGUCAUGAUCCCCACUGAACAGAUGAAGGCACAGAGGUGCGCGCGCUUGUCCUUAAAUCCAGUCCUCGAGAAAGACCCCAGCUCGUCUGACCCGUGACUCAGAAUUGGACUUCUCCAGGUGCAUAGACAGGCCGCCUGUAUGUUUAGGAAAGCGGAGAGGGAGGUAGGCCCCACGCACUCCCUCCCACCCUGUUAUCUGGAGACUGGGUGGGGGCGCUUAAAGGGUGACCUGCAGGCCCAGCAGAGGCGGCCGGGGCAGGCCUGCUUUGAUGCUGCUGUCUUGCCUCUGAGCCCUUUUAAAAGACCAGAAAGAUCUUUCCGCCCAUACCCUUGACCUUUGGAAGCUGUGCUUGGAAGUGGGAAAAGCCCAGUGACUUCGGAGGCCUCUUCCGUCUGCACCCCGACCAGGCUGUUAGGACGGCGGGUGGGCUCUAGGUGGCGGGCUUCUGCAGCGAUGGAGCCCCGGGCGGGCUGCUUGGAGGCCGACUUUCUGGGGGGCUGCGGAGCCCGGAGUGGCCUGAGCCGAGGACAAACAGAACUUUGUACCAGGAAGUACUGGUGUCUGGACGGGCGUGUGGCCGGGGAGUAGCUGAGCUCGGCUGUGUGCUGGCUGAGCGGCAAAUUGGUUGCCACCCCGGGAUUCCGGGCAAGUCCGAUGCGUCUAAGGGGAGCAGUCACUUCUAGUACUAGGGCGAAGGUAAAUAAUGACGAUGACGGCGGCGACCAGGCACUGAGUGUUUACUGAGGGCCCUAGGACAUCCCUCACAGCCUAACCUCACCGCAACGUCUGCAUCUCCACAUCUAAACCUGGCACCCCCUCUCCCAUCUCUCAUCCUCUAACACCUGCCCCCGCCCCACUGCUGGCCUGCCCUCCCUGGAGGCACCUUCACCCCCUUCAGUUACUCCUUGGAUUGGUUGCCUAGGCUUGCCUUAGCUGGGUGUCACAGAACUGGGGACCUAAAGAACUGUAUUCUUUCACCAUUCUGGAGACCUCAAGUCCAAAAUCAAGGUGUCCGCAGGGACCCAACUCCCUGCCCAAGGCUCUGGGGAGACUCUUUUCUGGCCUCUUUCAGCUUUUGUGGGGUGGGGGUGGGGUCCUUGUGGUCACAUGACUGUAGUCUCAGAUGGACUGGGAUUGUUGGAUUUAGGGCCCACGUGGGUGGUCCAGGAUGAUCUCACCUGCAGAUCCUUAACCCCAGGAUCAUGACUUGAGCCGAAGGCAGACCCUCAACCGCUGAGCCACCCAGGCAUCCCAAAGACGCUGUUUCUAAUAAGAUCACUUUCACAGGAGGGAAACAGACCUUUUCAGGGGCCACCAUUCAAUUCACUGACACUCACUGCAGAAACCUACUGUUAUCCUGGACAUCUCCAGCCCCUCCCUCCCCUGUGAAGUCCACUGCCACCCAUUGUGGCUGACUUGUCUGCUCAGUGCCAACAUCUGCUCCAGGCCAUCAGCAUUUCUUCCCUAACUUCCUCACUGGUUUCCCUGUGUCCACCUGUUGUGGAUCAAACUGUGGCCCCAUUGCCAUGACUCACAUAUUGAAGCUCUGACCCCCACCCCCAGUGGUGAUUGCUUUGGGAAAUGGGGACAUUCACAAGAUAAAGUUCACGAGGUCACACGGGUGGGGCCCUGAUCUGAUAGGACUGACGUCCUUAUAAGAAGAGCUACCAGAGGGACAUCUGGGUGGCUCAGCUAUUGGGCAUCUGCCUUCAGCUCAGGGCAUCAUCCUGGGUUUGGGAUUGAGUCCUGGCCCCACAUCAGGCUCCCUGCAAGGAGCCUGCUUCUCCCUCUGCUCUCUCUUUCUGUGUCAUGAAAAAAUAAAAUCUUGAAGAAGAAGAAGAAGAAGAAGAAAGAGCUACCAGAUCUAGCUCUCCAUGCAAGAAUGGUGGAAAGCCACAUUAAGGACACAGUGAAAAGCUGGCCAUCUACAAGCCAGGAAGAGAGAGCUCU